UAAUUCAUAUAUACUUAGGAUAACGUAAUUUAUCCAGUUUGUCCACUAAUUUGAUUGGACAAGCAGCAUUCUGAGCAGAAAGUUUCACUGUUUGUGUCACUAUCCCCUUCUUAGUAUGGAAUUCCAGUUAUAGCUGACGCCAUUUUCAUGGCAGAGCAAAAAAUGAACUAUUGGAUGACCAUAUUGUGUCUAAAAAUGUCUGUUGCUCAAGACUGACCUCUUGUAAUGUCACAAUACACUCUUAAAAAUGUAUUGUGAUUAAUGGUUCCAUGAAGAACCUGAAGAACAUCCAUUGCACAAAAGAUUCUUCAUAGGUGAAAGAAAAGGGUUCUUUAAUUCAAAUGUUCUUCAAAAAUAGUUCUUUUCAGAUUUAGGUUCUUUGGGGAACCCAGAAUGGUUCUAAUAGGGCAUUGCUGCGAAAACUCCCUUUUGGAACCUUUAUUUUUAAUAGUGAAUUGUUGUGUUGUGGCUGAAUUGUAGCAUUUCAUGAAAAAUAAUGAGGGGAAACAUGUUGAGUGGGAGAGAUGUGGAGAUGUAAGAUGAAGAAGAUGCAGACAUCUGGAGAGGAAGGCAUUAGGAGGGAUGUAUGAGAGCUACGGAUAUGUAGAGUUGAGUUUGUUUUCAUCAUCUAGACAUUAAACUCGGCAGGAAGUCGUCAUACAUAAUGAAAGUUCUAUUUUGGAUUCUUUCCCCAUUAAGGACAAGCUAAACUUCCUGUCUCAAACAAUGCACUUUCCUUCCUGGCAACCUUGCAAAAUAAUUGAACAUAUUGUUCAUGUUAUAGAAUAACAAUGAGUUCAAAACUGAAUGUGUUUAAAAUGAAUAAAGUUCUUUGAUAUCUUUGAAACACUCAGAUAGUGUUGUGUAUUUGUGUGUGUGCAAUUGUUCACUAUUGUAAAUGAUGUGUUAUACACGUUUAUGUUUAUUUUUAUUAAGUAAAAGAUUGGUAUACAAUGUGGUAAAUAUGUUAGAGACGCUUAAACAGAAAUAUUCCUUUAAAUCAAUGCUCCAGUCCUUGAUAAAAAGACAGAAUCAAUGUGAAGAGAGAAAGUUACAUCAUCUACUUCACCUGAACUAAUCUAACCUUUCUUUGUCUUUCAGGGGCAUGUAAGGAUAAGUCAGUCGCUGCGAACCCAAUUACACCCACAAACUUCCACCACUGACAGACCUGGUGAUGUUAGAGAAUAAUAUCACUGCUGUGGAGGUGUGGUGGAAAAAUAGGGCAGUCGAAAGCAAUGUUCGAAAGCAAAUUACUCCAGAGUGGUUUUUACUUUGAACAUUUGUGAAGAGGUGGAUUGACUGAAAGGUUUCUGCUGCUUUAUGGCCCGGGAUGAUCCGACGCAAUCUCAGCCUGCCUGACAAACACCAAUCCGAUUGGAGUGGGGGAUUUCUGCAAGUUCUUGCCAUUUUGUGCGUCAGGUGGUCAGUGAAACAACCGUGGGCAGUCUGUGCAUGCUUUCAGAGGCUGAGGCUAUUUAUUUGUAAAGCUGGUAAUGUCACCGUGGGAUUGCACUGCGCAGAUCAUUAUAUCUGUGGCAAGCAGGGUUAUAGUCGUGCACACAAAUUGCAUUAGUCAUUUAAACAAUUUGUCCACUGUAUAGGAUAUUCAGAUGUAAGUUUAUAGUUGUUCAGGGAUUAAUUAUUAGCAGAUGAAGUGUUGGAUGGGGAAAAUGUGGGCAGCACUACAGCAUGCACCAGCAGAUUAAAAGUAAUGUGUCUCCUUAUUAGAGAACAUGAGGGCAAUCUUCAAGCAAGAACAGAUCUAAAGAUCAUACGUCCCUCAUCUCUGUCUGUAUCUCUCAGCCCACAUAUCCUCUAACCUCGUUACAGUGGCUUGACUUGUGUCUUCCCACAAAACAGCAGCUGUGAAGUCAGCACAAGCCCAUUUACGGGUCAUUUUAUGGGUCAGAGAGAGAAACAUGCAUAUGUGAAAGAAAAGAAAGAGAUGUGUGCGAGAGAGUAAAUAAAUGAGAAUUUUAAUUCCCGUCCCCGUUCACAGUUUCGUAAUGUUUUUAAUGUCCAAUUUAUAUGCAUAAAGCUGCAGGCUAUAGAAAUUACCCUGCUUCUGAGGUUGGUUCAAAUUUAGGGUUAAUGCCAUAGUUUUUGUAUUUUAACAGUGACAGACGUGAAGCAUUUGUUUGGGUACAUGAGCCUACAAGGAUUAAUGAUCGCAGAAAAGCAAUCAUUCGUCAAAAACUGGCUUUUUUUUGGGUGCAAUCAGUGUGAGCAUGUGUAUGUAAGCCUUUUAAAGGGAUAGUUCACCCAAAAAUGAAAAUUAUCCCAUAUUUUACUCCCACUCAAGCCAUCCUAGGUGUAUAUGACUUUCAUCUUU